rnacentral:rRNA from 1 species
GGUGAACGCUGGCGGUAGGCCUAACACAUGCAAGUCGAACGGCAGCACAGUAAGAGCUUGCUCUUACGGGUGGCGAGUGGCGGACGGGUGAGGAAUACAUCGGAAUCUACUUUUUCGUGGGGGUUAACGUAGGGAAACUUACGCUAAUACCGCAUACGACCUACGGGUGAAAGCAGUUGAUCUUCGGACCUUGCGCGAUUCAAUGAGCCGAUGUCGGAUUAGCUAGUUGGCGGGGUAAAGGCCCACCAAGGCGACGAUCCGUAGCUGGUCUGAGAGGAUGAUCAGCAACACUGGAACUGAGACACGGUCCAGACUCCUACGGGAGGCAGCAGUGGGGAAUAUUGGACAAUGGGCGCAAGCCUGAUCCAGCCAUACCGCGUGGGUGAAGAAGGCCUUCGGGUUGUAAAGCCCUUUUGUUGGGAAAGAAAAGCAGCAGGUUAAUAACCCGCUGUUCUGACGGUACCCAAAGAAUAAGCACCGGCUAACUUCGUG